rnacentral:rRNA from 1 species
UACGAAGGGGGCUAGCGUUGUUCGGAAUUACUGGGCGUAAAGCGCACGUAGGCGGACCAUCAAGUUGGGGGUGAAAUCCCGGGGCUCAACCCCGGAACUGCCUUCAAAACUGUUGGUCUGGAGGUCGAGAGAGGUGAGUGGAAUUCCUAGUGUAGAGGUGAAAUUCGUAGAUAUUAGGAAGAACACCAGUGGCGAAGGCGGCUCACUGGAUCGGUACUGACGCUGAGGUGCGAAAGCGUGGGGAGCAAACAGG